AACGAACGCUGGCGGCAUGCCUAACACAUGCAAGUCGAACGAGACCUUCGGGUCUUUUGGCGCACGUGUGCGUAACGCGUGGGAACCUGCCCUUAGGUUCGCAAUACCUCCCCGAAAGGGGUGCUAAUACCGGAUAAUGUCUUCGCACCAAAGAUUUAUGGCCUUGGGAUGGGCCCGCGUUGGAUUAGCUAGUUGGUAGGGUAAUAGCCUCCCAUGGCGUCGAUCCAUAGCUGGUCGGGGAGGAGGAUCUGCUACACUGGAACUAAGACACGGCCCAGACUCCUAGGGGAGGGAGGAGAGGGGAAUACAGGACAAGGGGGGAAAGCCUGACCCAGCAAUGCCGGGUGAGUGAUGAAGGCCUUAGGGUAGUAAAGCUCUUUUACACGGGAUGAUAAUGACGGUACCGGGAGAAUAAGCACCGGCUAACUACGUG
rnacentral:rRNA from 1 species